rnacentral:rRNA from 1 species
AGCGAACGCUGGCGGCAGGCCUAACACAUGCAAGUCGAACGGAUCCUUCGGGAUUAGUGGCGGACGGGUGAGUAACACGUGGGAACGUGCCCUUUGGUUCGGAACAACUCAGGGAAACUUGAGCUAAUACCGGAUGGGCCCUUCGGGGGAAAGAUUUAUCGCCAUUGGAGCGGCCCGCGACUGAUUAGCUAGUUGGUGAGGUAACGGCCCACCAAGGCGACGAUCAGUAGCUGGUCUGAGAGGAUGAUCAGCCACACUGGGACUGAGACACGGCCCAGACUCCUACGGGAGGCAGCAGUAGGGAAUCUUGCGCAAUGAGCGAAAGCCUGACGCAGCCAUGCCGCGUGAAUGAUGAAGGUCUUAGGAUUGUAAAAUUCUUUCAGCGGGGACGAUAAUGACGGUACCCGCAGAAGAAGCACCGGCUAACUUCGUG